rnacentral:lncRNA from 1 species
CUGUCUUCCAGGCCUCAUCCUUUCCCUUCAAUCCCUCCCUAUCUUCUUCAUCUCCUUUUUACUCUGGGGCAGCCGCCAAAGAGAAUUCCUCAAGGCUAUAGGGGAAACAGGUCCUGCUGCAGCUUGCUGUCUGUCCUGCAUUGCCAACCCUCCAGGGAGAAGUCUCCAAUUGCUGCAGGUAAGACUCCUUCCUCCUUAGUUCCUGCAGCGGCCUUUGAUCCAGAUGAAAAAGCUUACCUCUCCACCCCUAUUCCCACACCAGCAGUUUGGGAGAGCUGACAGUGAGAGUAGAUUUUAAAGUACUGGAAACUCCUUUGAGUCAGGUGGUGAAACUCUCCAAAAAGGAAGAUUAAGGGAGCUCAGGGGCAAAGGAUAGAGAGUGAGUGAGGG